UUGACCCUGCCCUAUGCGUGACGGGCCUAUUUAAACCCACAUUUAAAAUAAGGGAUGCCGGAACUCUUUGCGUGAAAUUGCAGGCCUCCCGGCUAUGCCGGAUGUUGGAAGCGCUGAAACGCGAAGGAGGCGACCCACCUGCAUUAAGGUGCAGGUUAUAAAUGGGUCCGCACGGUAGCGGCGGGGUCAAU
rnacentral:other from 1 species